rnacentral:rRNA from 1 species
GUGGGGGAUAUUGCACAAUGGGGGAAACCCUGAUGCAGCGACGCCGCGUGAAGGAAGACGUACUUCGGUAUGUAAACUUCUAUCAGCAGGGAAGAAGAUGACGGUACCUGACUAAGAAGCCCCGGCUAACUACGUGCCAGCAGCCGCGGUAAUACGUAGGGGGCAAGCGUUAUCCGGAUUUACUGGGUGUAAAGGGAGCGUAGACGGUGAAGCAAGUCUGAUGUGAAAACCCGGGGCUCAACUCCGGGAUUGCAUUGGAAACUGUUUUACUUGAGUGCUGGAGGGGCAAGCGGAAUUCCUGGUGUAGCGGUGAGAUGCGUAGAUAUCAGGAAGAACACCGGUGGCGAAGGCGGCUUGCUGGACAGUAACUGACGUUGAGGCUCGAAAGCGUGGGGAGCAAACAGGAUUAGAUACCCUAGUAGUCC